rnacentral:rRNA from 1 species
UAGGGAAUCUUCGGCAAUGGGGGGAACCCUGACCGAGCAACGCCGCGUGAGUGAAGAAGGUUUUCGGAUCGUAAAGCUCUGUUGUUAAGGAAGAACGAGUGUGAGAAUGGAAAGUUCAUGCUGUGACGGUACUUAACCAGAAAGGGACGGCUAACUACGUGCCAGCAGCCGCGGUAAUACGUAGGUCCCGAGCGUUGUCCGGAUUUAUUAGGCGUAAAGCGAGCGCAGGCGGUUAGAAAAGUCUGAAGUGAAAGGCAGUGGCUCAACCAUUGUAGGCUUUGGAAACUGUUUAACUUGAGUGCAGAAGGGGAGAGUGGAAUUCCAUGUGUAGCGGUGAAAUGCGUAGAUAUAUGGAGGAACACCGGUGGCGAAAGCGGCUCUCUGGUCUGUAACUGACGCUGAGGCUCGAAAGCGUGGGGAGCGAACAGG